rnacentral:tRNA from 1 species
GCCCAGGUGGCUCAGUUGGUUAAGCGUCUACUCUUCAUCUCAGCUCAGUUCUUUAUCUCAGGGUUGUGAGUUCAAACCCCACCUUGGGCU